rfam:Aspergillus niger supercontig An04
UGCCAUCGCUAAGUCAAGGCUACUCCUGCGACUUCAUGUCGUGUUAUUCACUAUGGGAGACUGUCUGUUACAGCUUUGGCAGAUUGACGCUGGUCCGCGCCGACCUUCUUUCUGAAGCUAGGCUGAUUGGUUUUCGUUUUGAAAGCCAAUCGUUAAGGACCGAGCUGUGUUCUGUUUUUGAGUUGAGUCCUGCUUCCGCUCUUGAAGUGGCAUCAUAGCAGGUCUCUUAGUAACAUUUCACACAUCC